AACGGAUCUCUUGGCUCUCGCAUCGAUGAAGAGCGCAGCGAAAUGCGAUAAGUAAUGUGAAUUGCAGAAUUCAGUGAAUCAUCGUAUCUUUGAACGCACCUUGCACCCUUUGGUAUUCCGAAGGGUACGCCCGUUUGAGUGUCAUUGUAAUCUCACUACGAUCGACUUUUUGUCUUUUGUAUGUGGACUUGGAUGUUGCCGUGAAUAAACAAACGGCUCGUCUGAAAUGCCUGAGUGUACCCCGCUUUGCGGCGUAUUCGGUGUGAUAAAUCUUCACCGGAGUUGAUCCCUUUAUGGGGUCGCGUCUGUAAUGGUGUGGCUCUAUGCUUCGAACCGUCUCCUAUCGAGACAAAAUUCUGACAAUUUGACCUCAAAUCGGGUGGGACUACCCGCUGAACUUAAGCAUAUCAAUAAGCGGAGGAAAAGAAACUAUCAAGGAUUCCCCUAGUAACGGCGAGUGAAGAGGCAAAAGCUCAAAUUUUGAAUCUGGUGUCUUUGACUCCAGAGUUGUAAUCUAGAGAAGUGUUUUCCGUGUCGGACCGUGCACAAGUUCCCUGGAACGGGGCGUCAUGGAGGGUGAGAAUCCCGUAUAUGGCAUGGACUACCGAUGCUUUUGUGAUACACUCUCAACGAGUCGAGUUGUUUGGGAAUGCAGCUCAAAAUGGGUGGUAAAUUCCAUCUAAAGCUAAAUAUUGGCGAGAGACCGAUAGCGAACAAGUACCGUGAGGGAAAGAUGAAAAGCACUUUGGAAAGAGAGUGAAACAGUACGUGAAAUUGUUGAAAGGGAAGCGUUUGAAAUCAGUCGUAUCUGGUGGGAUUCAGCCGGGCUUUUGCCAGGUGUACU
rnacentral:rRNA from 1 species